UGAAAGGUAAGCUAUAUUUAAGCUAAUGGGCCCAUAACCCAAUGAAAGAUUUAUUACUCCUAUCGA
rnacentral:tRNA from 1 species